AUGGAGGACCGUGCCCUGUCAGGACUCAGCCCUGCUGUUGUUCAUGUCUUGCUUGGUGGGAGUCCUGAAACUGCCACUGUUAGACUAGAGGACUGUCCAGAUCCGGACAUCAGAGAAACACUUGAAGGGGAAUACAAACUGUGUGAUCAGGAGAAAAUAAGUGUCCAGGACUUGGCCUAUGCCUGGGACCUCCCUCCCCUGACUGAGAACAACAGAAGAUGGCUUUUUGAGAAGUUACUGAUCCAUGCUGUAAUUGGACGAGUCACAAGACAAAUUAAGCAGCUGAGACGAGGUCUCAAAGAAACCCCAAUGUGGACAGUCUUGACCCAACGACCUGACACAGUGACAUUUCUUUUUCCUAAACCAGGAGCAGAGAACAUCAGUCCAGAAGUAUUACUUCAGCGCAUCACUUGGCCAGAUGAUGAAGACGAAGAUGACAGCGAUUAUUCUGUUGACAUCAAAUGUCAGAUGUCAAGCUAUCUGCGAGAGUUCAUUGCCAAUGCAACUUCAUCUGAAUUAACCAAUCUGGUUAAAUUCUGGACUGGAUGGGAAAUUCUACCAAAGAGUCUCUCUGUAGAGGUAGUCAAGGGCAGCUAUCCCACAGCAUCCACCUGCUUUGAAACCUUGCGCAUUCCAGGUCAUUACAAGAAUUACACAUCUUUCAAGAGUGACCUUCUGUCCUGUAUAGGCACUUGCCUGACAGGAUUUGGACUUGUGUGAGAAAUGUGUUCUACACUUUCAAGACAAGAUUUGUUUGCACUAAAAGCUGUUGCUGUAAAAAAAGGUGCUGUUAAAAUGUUAGUGUAGAGUUGUUGACUACAUUGUUAUUUGUUAUACUGAUCUGUUUCAAAAAGCUUCUUCUGCAUAUGCACUGGGAAAUUUCAUGUUCUCCCAAUUUUAUACAGAUUUGUUAAACUGAUCUGUUUCAAAAAGCUUCUUCUACAUAUGCACUGGGAAAUUUCACGUUCUCCCAAUCAAUUUUAUACAUAAAAUUGUGAAGUGAUCCUGCUUUUCCGUACGCAAGUUUAAUGAUUUUUGUCUCUGCGUAAAUGUUACCUUUUAAAUAAAAUCUUUUUAAGCACA
rnacentral:lncRNA from 1 species